GCAGGGAAACAACCAAUCCACUGACUGAGAGCCUGCCUCUGUAGAGCCCUUAGGAAAGUUAAGGAAAAGGCACCAAAGAAAGAGAAGAGAGGAAAGUGCGAUACAUUACCUUUAACAGUUCAGUGCAGUGCUUCCAGAAUCUAAGUCCCAUACACCUGGCAGAGAAAUGAGGUCUUUUUCGAUGUUCAAGAAGUAAAGAGCUUGCCACUUCUUGCUGUUACUGUAUGUCUUCUUCACAAUCUCCAGAUGAGUUUUCCUGCGUUUUUGGUUUGGUUUUUUUUCCCCUUCUCCGGUUCCCCAGAAGAAAUCAAAAUUCCCUAUGUGGUAUUUCAGGUCCUUUCAGGCAGUGGCAGCAGCAGCAAGCUUGAAGAAGCUGGAUGGAGUGGGGAUGGACAACUCUGGUCAAAGAUUUGGAACUGGGCAACACUGGAUCACCAAGAUGAGGUGACAGAGAUGAAGUCUCAGGAUCUUCCUUUUCAGUUCCCCCCAUUUUCUCUCCCAAGAACCCCCUUUUUAACAUGUGUUUUCAUUGUUGCCAAAAC
ensembl:lncRNA